rnacentral:sRNA from 1 species
CACAUAAGAACACUGGUUAUUGCAUUAGCAGAUGGAGGUGUACCAGGAGCAACAGGAAGAGAUUAUGUACUUCGACGAAUUGUGAGAAGAGCUGUACGAUUUGGAAAUAAAUUCAUGAAUGCGAAUGUAGGAUUUUUCGUA